ensembl:lncRNA
UGAAUACGGACAGCGGCGCUCACCUGGUGCCUCCUCUGCUUUGGGCUCCGAAUCACUCGCUGGGGCCUCAACUUUCUCUGUUGGCGAAGGAAGAGAAGGAUUUGUACAGCAUCGCUGUCCUUGUUACUUCUGGAUAAUCCACAGAACGCAACCCUGAGCACAAAUAGAGCCACAGAAAGCCAGUUGAUGUGUGACACACAGUGAUGAAUAGAGACGCACAGCUUGAACCUUCUCACCUCCACAACACUGAGAGGUUUGGUUUUGCUGAGAUAAAGUGGGGAAGGUCACUGAAGGAUGCUACAGAAGAAUUAAAGCCAAGUAACAGCCUAUAGCCAAAGAGCUGCAGCUGCCGGCUCCGAGGGGCUUUCGGCUGCCGCUGCUUCGGCAGGUGCUGCGGCCUCUUCAGGCGGACUGGCUGCAGCAGGCGGAGGCGCCUCCUCUGCGGAUAGAGCUUCAGCAGGGUCAUCUGCAGAUGCUGCAGCUGCAACAGGUUCAUCUGCAGGUUUUGCAUCGCCGGCGGCGGCAGGGGUUUGGUCAGGAAUAGUUUCGCUGUCCUCGGCUAUGUUGCCAUUUUCAUUGGCCGCCCCUGUCGGGAACAUACACAUUAACAAGAAGCACGAUUCAAACAGACUGAUUAUAAAGUAAAACCUAUGUAUUAAAUAUAAAACCAGUACAAAUGUACGGACUACGUUGAAUGCAGUCAAGUGCAUGACUUAUGACCCAUAUUGUUGGGUUCAUGCCGCUGAUAUGGAUUGAGAAGGCAAAACUGUUGAAGAUGAGAAGCAUGAUGACAUUUGCAUGAAACACAGGGGCUUGUAACACUUUAAGGCACAUGAUACCUGAGUUAAGGGACGAGCAGUAGUUUUUUCUGGGGUGAUAUGUCUCCCGAAUGAUAUUGCUCUGGCUAUUAGGUUACACGCUAAAUCCUAAGUGUCCCUGGCCCAAAUCCUUUGCUGCACCUCUUUCUCUUGUUUCCUGACAUCUCUCCACUCCUGUAUGUGAUAUAAAGUCUCCUAAAAUCCUAGAAUUAAACUCCAAUCACUGGCUGUUGACCAUGCAAAGCUCCCACCAAACCAAAACCACAGUGUGUACACUUAUUCGAGAAACAUAAUUCUACACGGUCAACUCCUCCCCCCUUUUAUUUACUGGGUAAAUAAUAAAUUAUGUUUUGGCACCAUGCCACAGGCCAUUGGGAAGGAAGUAAAUAUGGAAUAAAUCGACCUCCACUGGUGCAAAAAGGGUUAAUCAUUACAUGGAUUGUUGUUAAUUAACACAGUCAGCCUCACACUGGGCAGUUCACAGCUAUGUGGACAGGUUGCUAUGUGCUUGAUACUGUGCAAGCAUCUUUUUGUUUAAUGGAUUUGCAUUGGGAGUAUAUUUGCAUGGAUCAUAGAAGUCUGGGCUGUCUAUCGUCUAUGUUGGUAUAAGUAAGAUACCCUUUCCUUUUCCAUUUCUCAUGACAUCUGUCACAAUACUUUCCUUAAAAGGAGAUUGUGUUCUAUAAAUGUUUAAAUAAAUCAACCUUUGAUUAAUAGACGUCAUCUAUGUCUUUUGGGUAUGAAAAGUAGCAUUAGGUGAAGGAAAUGAGCCUCAUGCAAAAACAAGACGGCACCCUGAUAGAUUUCCCUCUGACCUCUAAGACGAU